rnacentral:misc_RNA from 1 species
GAUGAAGAACGCAGUGAAAUGCGAUAAGUAAUGUGAAUUGCAGAAUUCAGUGAAUCAACGAAUCUUUGAACGCACAUUGCGCCCGCCAGUAUUCUGGCGGGCAUGCCUGUUCGAGCGUCAUUUCAACCAUCAAGCCCCGGGCUUGUGUUGGGGACCUGCGGCUGCCGCAGGCCCUGAAAUGCAGUGGCGGGCUCGCUGUCACUCCGAGCGUAGUAGUUACAUCUCGCUCUGGGCGUGCUGCGGGUUCCGGCCGUUAAAAGCCUUAUUUACCCAAGGUUGACCUCGGAUCAGGUAGGAAGACCCGCUGAACUUAAGCAUAUCAAUAAGCGGAGGA